ACAUAACACUGCCCCAUUAAUGAAGACCAAGUCUUUGAAUAAGCAAAUGCAUUUUAUCUCAGUGACUCAGAAUGGCAUUGCUGACAAAAAGUCAGGAUCACUACAUCCCUACAGUCUGAUUGGACGAGAAGCCGGUUGGUUCUGCAUGAAGUCAGACUGCAGCCUGCAAAUAGACAAACCUUCUGAGGCAAAUAAAAAAAAAGAGAAAACUGAAAAUAUAAUAUUGCAGAUAACUUCCGGUGUUCUUUGUCAUAAAACUAAAUCCUCUACAUCCCGCUCUCUGCUGAUUUAGCUAAACAAAACUGAACAUUUUUAUUGCUCUGCUUCAAGGAACUCAUCGGCUGGACAUUAACGAACCGUAAAGAGAGUAGAAUUGGAAAUUCAAUUUUCUCCAGUUUUGAAACGUUUAAAGUUACCUUAAUGGGCAAUAUGUCCCUUGACACCUCAUUCUUUUUUUUUUUUCUUUUUUUUCCCGGUGCGCUCCGUUAGGUCGCCUCUGAGUUUGUUCAGCUGCUGGUCCUUUGCCUGUGUGUCUGUGCUGUGAUUAGGCCCAUGUGUGCGCCCUGCCUGGACUCUGUUGACCUCCUGGACGUGACUCCAUUUUCCUGAGCGUUUCACUGUGAGAUGGAGGCCAUUCAUCAUGUCAGCGAGAAGGCCUUCACAUGGAGCGAGACAUCAGUGGUACUCCGGUGGACGAGGAGCCUAUGACUCAAACCCCACAUGGCGCUGGCCCGGCCAGACUUUCCCCAACUAAUGAGCCUUACAUGUGUUUCUACCUCCGACUGCUUCCAUUUUCUCUGCGGAGCCAAUAAAUCCUAGAAAUGUCUCAUUUAAGGCCAAUGAAUACUACUGAGGGACACGUGGUGUCUGACAUGGUAAAAAUCACAUUCCCAUGUCGUGGAUAAUUGAUGUGGAAAGGGAGGGGUGGGUUUUUACGUUUUAGGAAAUAAUACAUGAAAAGUGUGAUAAAAAAAAACGUAACCUUUACUCUGACACAGAGUUGGGUAGUAACUACUUACAUUUACUUGGGUAACGCUUUGGAAAAAUUGUACUUUUAAUCAAGGCAAGUCAAGUUUAUUUGAAUAGCAACAAGUCAGUUCAAAGUGUUUUACAUUCUAAAAACAUCAUACAGUCCCCAAUUAUGCAACCAUGGUAACUGGAAGAGCUACAGAGUUCUAGGUGUGAUUCUCUGCAGGCAGCACAUGUUAAACCCAAAAAACAUUUCGCAACCGAUGGUCCCCAACCACCGGACCAUUUGUUCCUGGGCCACAGAGAACGAUGACCGAGACGAUCAAACUGUAAAAGGCAACUUCUUUCAAAAUCUGAUCUUGUUGGUGCGCUAGAGAGGCAGCAAAUGAGGAGCUCCAUGAGCCAAGUACAAAGCUUAUUAGGAGUUGUACCUCUGCUGUGGUAUCUCCCCAUCAGAAUGGACCAAACAGAGGCACAAAGGGUCAGGAUAGUUAAUGUACGCUGAACUGCAUCAUGCCGUGGGGACGCUGCUCUGCAAAACAUUGUGUAGUGCAGACAUGGCUCACUCCACGCUCCACUGCAUACGAAGCCAUACUUCUACACAAACUGCCUUUGCAGAAGAUUCUGGGGUACGCUUUCUGUUACGAUGUAUCCAGAAGAGGAUAGCUGGUUUGAUAUUCCAGCACAGAGGCAUCUGAGGAAGUGGAAGGCGUUGACAUCCUGUCUGACGGCACUUUGUCCUCAGACCCCAGGAGACAUGGUGGUUGCCGUUAUUUUAGGACAGAUUACAGAUUUUUAAAAAAACC